UACGGAGGGUGCGAGCGUUAAUCGGAAUAAUUGGGCGUAAAGGGCACGCAGGCGGGCUUUUAAGUGAGAUGUGAAAUCCCAGGGCUUAACCUGGGAAUAGCAUUUCAGACUGGGAGUCUAGAGUACUUUAGGGAGAGGGAGAAUUCCACGUGUAGCGGUGAAAUGCGUAGAGAUGUGGAGGAAUACCGAAGGCGAAGGCAGCCCCUUGGGAAUGUACUGACGCUCAUGUGCGAAAGCGUGGGGAGCAAAAGGG
rnacentral:rRNA from 1 species